GAAAGCUGAAACAGUUACAACCCUUUCUUAAUUCUCGCAAGCUUACCAAAGCCAAGAAAGAAUCUCUUAUCUCAUUACUCCUCCUCGCCCAUCUCUCAUUCCCCUUUUAUCUGAUCCUUUCUUGUCGGUUCGUUCAAAUCUUUUACCAUCUUAAUUGCUUACACUCCAAUACCUCUCUUUUCAUCCCUUUCAUUCCUUCGAUCGCUUCGCUUUAUUUCUCAGAGGAAUUUAUUGAAUUGGCCUGGUUCUUGAGAAUCAUACUAGCUGUGAUACGUGAGUUUUGACCGCUCAUCCUUGUAAAGAGGUCCCGAGAUUGCUGCUUCUUUUUUGGAGGAUUUCAGGACUUGUGAGGAGGUGAGAUGGCGUCAUUGCAAGGACCUGUUAUUUGCCCUGCUGGGCGUGCAAAACAAGCAGGAAUUUACACUCUGCCAGUGAAUGUCCCUUUGGUGAAUGCUAGGCUUAUUAGAAAUGGGUUAUGGAGAUUCAAGAGGAUCGAUGGUUACAAAACUAAAGUGGGUUUAUUUUCUCCUCAACUAAUUGCACAAGGGCGCUAUACAGUGCAGUGUUGUUUGAGUUCAUCCUCGAAUGGCAAUGGGAGCACAGCCGAGAAUUUCAAUGAAAACGAUGAAGAUUAUGUCAACUCCAGCAUAGUUGAAGCUGUUGAGGUUAAGAGUGGAGCAGAUGGUUUCACGAUCAAAAUGAGGGAUGGGAGGA
rnacentral:misc_RNA from 1 species